GACGAACGCUGGCGGCGUGCUUAACACAUGCAAGUCGAACGGAAAGGCCCUGCUUUUGUGGGGUGCUCGAGUGGCGAACGGGUGAGUAACACGUGUGUAACCUGCCCUUGACUUUGGGAUAACUUCAGGAAACUGGGGCUAAUACCGGAUAGGAGCUCCUGUUGCAUGGUGGGGGUUGGAAAGUUUCGGCGGUUGGGGAUGGACUCGCGGCUUAUCAGCUUGUUGGUGGGGUAGUGGCUUACCAAGGCUUUGACGGGUAGCCGGCCUGAGAGGGUGACCGGCUACAUUGGGACUGAGAUACGGCCCAGGCGCCUACGGGAGGCAGCAGUGGGGAAUAUUGCAAGAUGGCGGAAGCCUGAUGCAGCAACGCCGCGUGCGGGAUGACGGCCUGCUGGUUGUGAACCGCUUUCGCCUGUGACGAAGCGUGAGUGACGGUAAUGGGUAAAGAAGCACCGGCUAACUACGUG
rnacentral:rRNA from 1 species